rnacentral:misc_RNA from 1 species
GAUGAAGAACGUAGCGAAAUGCGAUAAGUAAUGUGAAUUGCAGAAUUCAGUGAAUCAUCGAAUCUUUGAACGCACAUUGCGCCCGCCAGUAUUCUGGCGGGCAUGCCUGUUCGAGCGUCAUUUCAACCAUCAAGCCCCCAGGGGCUUGUGCUGGGGCCCUGCGGCUGCCCGCAGGCCCUGAAAACCAGUGGCGGGCUCGCUAGUCACACCGAGCGCAGUAGCACAUCUCGCUCAGGGCGUGCGGCGGGCUCCUGCCGUGAAACCCCCCACUGUAACCCCAAAGGUUGACCUCGGAUCAGGUAGGAAUACCCGCUGAACUUAAGCAUAUCAAUAAGCGGAGGA